AGUUUGAUCCUGGCUCAGAAUGAACGCUGGCGUCGUGCUUAACACAUGCAAGUCGAACGAGAAAGGGAUUGCUUGCAAUCCUGAGUAGAGUGGCGCACGGGUGAGUAACACGUAGAUAAUCUACCUUUGAACCUGGGAUAACUAAUCGAAAGGUUAGCUAAUACCGGAUGAAGUUAAUCGGCAUAAGUUGAUUGUUGAAAGACUGCCUAUCCUUGGAAGCAGUUGUUUGGAGAUGAGUUUGCGGACCAUUAGCUAGUUGGUGGGGUAAAGGCCUACCAAGGCGACGAUGGUUAGCUGGUCUGAGAGGAUGAUCGGCCACACUGGAACUGAAACACGGUCCAGACUCCUACGGGAGGCAGCAGUGAGGAAUUUUGCGCAAUGGGGGCAACCCUGACGCAGCAACGCCGCGUGAGUGAAGAAGGCCUUUGGGUCGUAAAGCUCUGUCAAUCGGGAAGAAGUUAUGGGAGUCGAAUAGGCUUUCAUAUUGACGGUACCGGUGAAGGAAGCAUCGGCUAACUCCGUGCCAGCAGCCGCGGUAAUACGGGGGAUGCAAGCGUUAUUCGGAAUUAUUGGGCGUAA
rnacentral:rRNA from 1 species